GGAAUACCCCACUAUGCUGGUAU
rnacentral:misc_RNA from 1 species